rnacentral:rRNA from 1 species
CCUACGGGAGGCACCAGUGGGGAAUAUUGGACAAUGGGCGAGAGCCUGAUCCAGCAAUGCCGCGUGUGUGAAGAAGGCCUUCGGGUUGUAAAGCACUUUCAGUAGGGAGGAAGGUAGUGUAGUUAACACCUGCGCUAUUUGACGUUACCUACAGAAGAAGCACCGGCUAACUCCGUGCCAGCAGCCGCGGUAAUACGGAGGGUGCGAGCGUUAAUCGGAAUUACUGGGCGUAAAGCGCAUGCAGGCGGCCUGUUAAGUCAGAUGUGAAAGCCCGGGGCUUAACCUCGGAAUUGCAUUUGAAACUGGCAGGCUAGAGUCUUGUAGAGGGGGGUAGAAUUUCAGGUGUAGCGGUGAAAUGCGUAGAGAUCUGAAGGAAUACCAGUGGCGAAGGCGGCCCCCUGGACAAAGACUGACGCUCAGAUGCGAAAGCGUGGGGAGCAAACAGGAUUAGAUACCCGCGUAGUC